AGGGGUGUAGCUUAGUAGAAGAGCACUUGCCUACCAUGCAUGAGGUUCUGAGUUCGAUCCUUGGCACCUCUA
rnacentral:tRNA from 1 species